rnacentral:rRNA from 1 species
AUUGAACGCUGGCGGCAGGCCUAACACAUGCAAGUCGAACGAGUGGCGGACGGGUGAGUAAUGUCUUGGAACCUGCCCGAUGGAGGGGGGUGACUACUAGAAACGGUGGCUAAUACCGCAUACCACCCGAUCUGCCCCGGUGGGAUUAGCUAGUAGGUGGGGGAACGGCUAACCUAGGCGACGCUCCCUAGCUGGUCUGAGAGGAUGACCAGACACACUGGAACUGAGACACGGCACAGAAUCCGACGGGAGGCAGCAGUGGGGAAUAUUGCACAAUGGGCGCAAGCCUGAUGCAGCCAUGCCGCGUGGAUGAAGAAGGUGUUCGGGUUGUAAAACACUUUUAGCGAGGAGGCGGUACUCGCAGAAGAAGCACCGGCUAACUACGUGCCAGCAGCCGCGGUAAUAC